rnacentral:rRNA from 1 species
AUUGAACGCUGGCGGCAUGCUUUACACAUGCAAGUCGAACGGUAACGCGGGGCAACCUGGCGACGAGUGGCGAACGGGUGAGUAAUGCAUCGGAACGUGCCCGGUAGUGGGGGAUAACUGCUCGAAAGAGCAGCUAAUACCGCAUACGACCUGAGGGUGAAAGGGGGGGAUCGCAAGACCUCUCGCUAUUGGAGCGGCCGAUGUCGGAUUAGCUAGUUGGUGGGGUAAGGGCCCACGAAGGCGACGAUCCGUAGCUGGUCUGAGAGGACGACCAGCCACACUGGGACUGAGACACGGCCCAGACUCCUACGGGAGGCAGCAGUGGGGAAUUUUGGACAAUGGACGCAAGUCUGAUCCAGCCAUGCCGCGUGCGGGAAGAAGGCCUUCGGGUUGUAAACCGCUUUUGUCAGAGAAGAAAUCUUCUGGGUUAAUACCUCGGGAGGAUGACGGUAUCUGAAGAAUAAGCACCGGCUAACUACGUGCCAGCCGCCGCAGUAA